AAAAUACUGUGAUGUUUACAUUUCAUAAUUUAAUUAGAAAUACAAGUAAUGAUGAAUAUCUUACAAUCAGCCCUAAAAAACACAUUGAAAAUAUGCUAUGAGGCAAAAUUAAUUCAUAAUAUUAAAUGAAAAUGGCACGCUCAACAUACUAUCUAAUAUAAUAUUAAUAUUAUUAAAAUAAUCAUCGUUCAACCCUUAGAUCCUCUCUUUGUUUCUUAAUUAUCUACUUAAGAUUUACGAUAUAUAUUUUAUACAUCCUUCACCAAAAAGAUUACUCCUAACUUUAACGGACAAAAUGAUCAAUUUAAACUUGACUUUUGGUAUUUUUUUUGUAAUUGACUUGUACAUAAAUGUUAAAGGUUAUAUUUGUAUCACUCUCCGAUUGAAAUCUUUACUCUACGCCAAGUUUUUUUUUAAUCAAAACAUUUAUAUUUCAGUUCGAAAAUGUUGUCUGGGUGGAAGAUACAUUAAUUGUACCCUGUGACUUUGCAUAUGUUCUCUGAUGCUGAUGAAAUAAAAAUGUAUUAAUAUUGUACAAAGUCAAUUAGGUUCUUUGGCAUCCAUUGCUCUCAAUGACGGUCUUCAAGCGGGCACGGAAGGUGGAACUCACUCUGGUAAUGUAGUUCCUUCUCAAGAGCUUCCACUCCUUCUCCAUGGAGUACUUCAGGUUCAACAAAAUUAUUUCAAAGUAUCAAGGAUAAUGGAAUGAAAUUCCUUUUGACCACUCAUCUAUAUCAAGAUUUUCUGGAGAAUGUAUUCUCAUAGAUUCGCCCCAUCACAGGAAACAAUACUCAUCCAUCCCCAGUGGAAGCCCUCAGAAGCCUAAAAGUAAUUUUAUUUGUAAUAAAUUAUGAACUUGUCUUAAGAAAUCCAGGUGUUGAAGAGGAGUUAAAUGAUGAGGAUGAUGGCAAAAUAGUCAUUAAAUCCACAACGAGCCACUUCUUUUUGUCAGAUAUACAAGAAAAUGAGCAUGAUAAAGAUGCAAUUGAAUCAUAGGAAACUUAAGAAGAUUCUGGAGUUCUUGAAGCCGAAAAAAUCAAGAUCUGGCUUAUAUUGCAGGAUUUUGGUAAAAAAUUUAAAGAGCUUUAUCCAAAUCUAAGGGAAAAGACGUGUGACUUUGGAUUUUAUGGAGAAACGUCUAGCCCUUGGAUUGAAUUGGUCUCUAAGGGAGGCCUUGCGAUCCCAUCGUCUGAGUUUUUAAAAUCUUUUCAUUGACUGGAAAAAUAGUUCAAUACUUUUCAUUGUAACUAUGAAGACACAAUUGACAAAAACCCAUACGUAUUUGAAAAUAAUCCUCCAAUUGAAUUAUAUCCUAACUGGCCUAAAGGAGUCGUCAUAUCCUUUGUGAAAACAAGAACAAGAACUAGAGUAAAUAACCAUAAUAAAAAGCUCAAACUGAAAAAUGCAAGUGAUAAUCUGAGAAAACUUAAGACAGAUUGGUCAAUUUAGAAAUUAAUAUUUAUCAUUCAUGUAUGUAUGUAAAAAAUAUGUAUGCUAUAAUCUUUACUUAUUGCUAUUCUUUUAUUCCCCACUCUUAUAUUAUGUAAUAAAAUAGCAAAUUAGAUCAUAUACAUAAAGCA
rnacentral:lncRNA from 1 species